rnacentral:rRNA from 1 species
GUCCACGCCGUAAACGAUGGAUACUAGCUGUUCGGAGCAAUCUGAGUGGCUAAGCGAAAGUGAUAAGUAUCCCACCUGGGGAGUACGUUCGCAAGAAUGAAACUCAAAGGAAUUGACGGGGGCCCGCACAAGCGGUGGAGCAUGUGGUUUAAUUCGAUGAUACGCGAGGAACCUUACCAAGGCUUAAAUGUAGUUUGACAGAUUUUGGAAACAGAUUUUUCUUCGGACAAAUUACAAGGUGCUGCAUGGUUGUCGU